rnacentral:rRNA from 1 species
UACGGAGGGUGCAAGCGUUGUCCGGAAUUAUUGGGCGUAAAGAGCUCGUAGGCGGUUUGUCGCGUCGGCUGUGAAAUCCUCCGGCUCAACUGGAGGUCUGCAGUCGAUACGGGCAGACUAGAGUGCUGUAGGGGAGACUGGAAUUCCUGGUGUAGCGGUGAAAUGCGCAGAUAUCAGGAGGAACACCGGUGGCGAAGGCGGGUCUCUGGGCCGAUAUUGACGCUGAGGAGCGAAAGCGUGGGGAGCAAACAGG